CAUAACACACCAACACACACAAGCUUCUCUCUCUCUCUAAUUCACCACACGCACACACACACACUUUAUUAUUUAUCUCUCUCUCUCUUAUCAGUCACCACCAAACACUCACACCCACUAUCUCUUUUAAUCAUCAAAUCUCUCUAUCUUUAUUAAAGUAUAACAUUUCCUCUUUCUCUCCCACUAUCGGUUCCCUCUCCCUCUUUAUAUUCAAUCACCACAUGCACACACACCUUUUAAAAUAUAUCUCUCUCUCUCUUCUUCACAAGAAAACUCAUGCUGCUCACAUCUCUUCCUCUCGUUCAAUUAGUAAAACUGAAGCUUCAACAUCAUCUCUCUCUUUUUCGAUCAACUCACGGCUGGAGUUGCCGCCGCGUUCUGAAAAUCCGGCGAGGUUCGCCGCGUGGAGCUGCUGCCGCUGACUGCUGCUGUUCUGCUCUGGGCCGCGACCAGCGGCGCUUGGCCUUCGGCCGCGCCGCCCCGCUCCGCCUGAAGUCGCCGAGUCAGCCGUCGCCGACUGCUGCUGUCGCCGAGGAGUCCGCCGCUGCUGUUUCUCCUGUUGCAGAGCUCCGACAAUCCACCAUCCUUUCUCUCUCGUUUUAUCACUCACGAUAGGUUCGUAAAUUUGAAUUAAAAACUGAAACUCCUCUUUCCCUUUCUUGGCAGAUCGGAGACAACCGCGGCUCCGUCGCCGUCCGUCAACCGCCGGCGACGACGAGCCACCGAGGCUGCCCUCCCCCUGACCUCGACUCACACACGCAAACAGCCAACACAAAGGGUUUUUGUGCGAGAAUCAUAUACUGUAAAUCUAUGAAUUUGCUACUCAUUUUCUUCAUUUAUCAAAGCAUAUGUAAAUCUGAGUUAAUGAGCAUGUGUUGGUAUUCUGGAGUUGAUGUAUACAAUUGAAGGAUAUUAUAAUAUAUAAAUUAGAAAUAUAAACCUUGAAU
rnacentral:lncRNA from 1 species